rnacentral:rRNA from 1 species
GACGAACGCUGGCGGCGUGCCUAAUACAUGCAAGUAGAACGCUGAAGAGAGGAGCUUACUCUUCUUGGAUGAGUUGCGAACGGGUGAGUAACGCGUAGGUAACCUGCCUUGUAGCGGGGGAUAACUAUUGGAAACGAUAGCUAAUACCGCAUAACAAUGGAUGACACAUGUCAUUUAUUUGAAAGGGGCAAUUGCUCCACUACAAGAUGGACCUGCGUUGUAUUAGCUAGUAGGUGAGGUAAUGGCUCACCUAGGCGACGAUACAUAGCCGACCUGAGAGGGUGAUCGGCCACACUGGGACUGGGACACGGCCCAGACUCCUACGGGAGGCAGCAGUAGGGAAUCUUCGGCAAUGGGGGCAACCCUGACCGAGCAACGCCGCGUGAGUGAAGAAGGUUUUCGGAUCGUAAAGCUCUGUUGUAAGUCAAGAACGGGGGUGAGAGUGGAAAGUUCACACUGUGACGGUAGCUGACCAGAAAGGGACGGCUAACUACGUG